rnacentral:SRP_RNA from 1 species
UACAGGUCGGACGGCGGCAGCACUGCCAACCCCGUCAGGUUCGAAAGAAAGCAGCGGUAACAGAUGUUGCCGGGUGUCCGGCCCCUUUUU